AAGUUAAUUCGCAUCUAGCUGGUGGUCUAUAAACUUGGGCCUUUCCUAAUUUCACGAGCAUCACAGAUCUCUCCAUAGUCAGAUUUGAUGUCAGCACGUAGUUGAAGACGCUCCACCUUUCGUUUGCUUUCGGUGCACAUCCGGCACAAAAUAAAAAUUGUUCAAAUUUUGACACUAGAUGAAGAUGUCAAGUGUGGCGAACAUGUCAAAAGUUGUCAUUUUAUUUGCUUUUUUUGGUUAUACUCAUGGAUCAUUGGUAUUCCCAGUUACUUACAAGUUCCUGGACGGGUUUUCGUUUUGCUGUUGAGCGUGGAUUUUGAGAGGAAGGUACGCCGUGUCCUUAGUUCAGGGUUUUUACGCUAGCUGCAUUAUACAU